GCCUCCUUAGUGUUAAUGGUUUAGCAAACCUGCCUUGUAAACAGGGAGUCUCAGUUCGAUUCUGAGGGGAGGCU
rnacentral:tRNA from 1 species